GGUGCCCUGAGUGUGUGCAGGGGAUGUUGCCUGGGCUGGCAUGACACUCCCCAGCACACACCGGAAAGCAGCUGGGUUCAAGUGGUGCGUUUCUCACGGGCCAGCAUCCCAGAAGGUGCUGGUGUCCAUGCCGCAGUGCUGAGGCUGGUCCAGAAGCACCCACCUGGGGCCACCUCGAGUCCCAGGGACCACACACAGAGCCUCACAGAGACCACAGGCAGAGCCUCGAGUCCUGGAGACCACACACAGAGCCUCACAGAGCACACACAGAGCCUGGAGUCCCAGAGACCACACACAGAGCCUCACAGAGACCACACACAGAGACUCACAGAGACCACACACAGAGCCUCGAGUCCUGGAGACCACACACAGAGCCUCACAGAGCACACACAGAGCCUGGAGUCCCAGAGACCACACACAGAGCCUCACAGAGACCACACACAGAGACUCACAGAGACCACACACAGAGCCUCACAGAGACCACAGGCAGAGCCUCGAGUCCUGGAGACCACACACAGAGCCUCACAGAGCACACACAGAGCCUGGAGUCCCAGAGACCACACACAGAGCCUCACAGAGACCACACACAGAGACUCACAGAGACCACACACAGAGACUCACAGAGACCACACACAGAGACUCACAGAGACCACACACAGAGACUCACAGAGACCACACACAGAGACUCACAGAGCACACACAGAGACUCACAGAGCACACACAGAGCCUGGAGUCCCAGAGACCACACACAGAGCCUCACAGAGACCACACGCAGAGACUCACAGAGACCACACGCAGAGACUCACAGAGACCACACGCAGAGACUCACAGAGCACACACAGAGCCUGGAGUCCCAGAGACCACACACAGAGCCUCACAGAGACCACACGCAGAGACUCACAGAGACCACACGCAGAGACUCACAGAGACCACACGCAGAGACAAGCUCACAGAGACCACACGCAGAGACUCACAGAGCACACACAGAGCCUGGAGUCCCAGAGACCACACACAGAGCCUCACAGAGACCACACGCAGAGACUCACAGAGACCACACGCAGAGACUCACAGAGACCACACGCAGAGCCUCGAGUCCUGGAGACCACACACAGAGCCUCAGAGAGACCACACGUGGAGCCUCACAGAGACCACACACACAGAGACCACACACAGACACUCGAGUCCUGGAGACCACACACAGAGACCACACACGCUCACAGAGACCACACACAGAGCCUCACAGAGACCACACACAGAGCCUCACAGAAACCACACACGGAGCCUCACAGAGACCACACACACACACAGAGACCACAUGCAGAGCCUCACAGAGACCACACACACACACACACACAGACCACACACACUCACACACCACACACACAGAGACCACACACACACAGAGACCACACACACCCACACUCACACACACACAGACACACACACACACAGACACACACACACACACACACACACACAGACACACACACACAGACUGGCUUUUGUUGUUUACUAGAACACUCAAAUGAAAAACAGCCUAACAGGUCCUAA
rnacentral:lncRNA from 13 species